GGCGGAAUAGUGGGGCGAGUGUGGCGGAAUAGUGGGGCGAGUGUGGCGGAAUAGUGGGGCGAGUGUGGCGGAAUAGUGGAGCGAGUGUGGCGGAAGAGUGUUGCAGGGCGUGGCGCAAAAUCAGCCAUCAUCAGCACAGUUGCAGAGACGUACGCACCUUCAGCACAACUUCAGCGGACAGGACAACAUCGACGCAAACACAGAAGAUACGUUACAUGGACACCCAGAGUAUACGACCUUCUUCCAACUACAGAUGGAUUCUACGAACAUUUUCAUCCCCAUCAUCUGACGUCAUCAGCACAGUUGGGAAGACAUCGAUCACAGAUUACCUAGCUCGGACGAAUCAACGGAAUAACAGACGAAGGACACAGCAACCGAGUGGCGGACAAGCAGCGGACAAGUGGCAAGCAUCGAGGGAUCAACAUAAUUGUUGUUUUGUGUGUGUUUUUCAGGUCUCCCACAAUCUG